AGCAGCUGACGAGUGCUAAAUAGUACGAAACGCGUGUCCUGGAC
rnacentral:hammerhead_ribozyme from 1 species